GGAAAAAGGAGAAGCCAAAGAAGUUCACUAGACAACCAAAAAAGCAGGUAUCUUCACCCUGUGCCCAGAGGAAAGAAAAGGCAUUGGAGAAGUCAGCUUCUAGAGAUGUGUCUCCUUUCGUUGUGAGUAUGCAGAAGAAUAAGUGGGAUGCCACAAGAUCCUUAAGAUUCAACCAGGAUGCACAAAGAGAAGACGAUCAACGGCAAAUGACUGAAAUUACAGGGCACCUAAUAAAAAUGAGAUUGGGGGAUCUGGACCGAGUCAAGUCAAAGGAAGCAAAAGAAUUUGCAGGAGGUAUUUAUUCCAGGCUGGAAGCACAAAUCAAGGCCUCAGUGCCAGUUAGUGCACGCCAAAGCAGCUCAGAGAAAAACACAAGGUAAAUCAGCAUAAACUAAACCAGAGUGUCAGUGGCUUUGAAGUGAAUUUUUUUUUUAAGAUAAAUCAUAUGAACACUAGAAACAUAUCAUUUGAGUUUGGUUUUAUGUUUUGUUUCAAUGAUUAUAUUAUCAAGGCACUAAUUAGAAACAGAUUUUAACUUAAAAGAUAAAAUCUAAUGAAAAUAUAGCUUUGUGGAUUUUUUAAAGUUUUCUGCUUGUUGGACUAGCUUCAUUCUGAGCCAACUCCUGAUAAAAAUGUAAGCUAUAGUGCUACUGGAAGUAGCAGAA
rnacentral:sRNA from 1 species